CUCGGCGCCCGCGGAGCGUGUUUGCGGCGGUGCCCUUCCGGGGUCCGCGCCGCUUUUGGUCCUCCGCAGCCGCCGUCCACAGCGCCCGGCUCCGCGCGAGAGCCCUGCCAGAGGACCGGCUCCGGCCGCGGCGCCUGACCCUUGCCCGGGGUCUUCCGCACAGUGGGCUGAGGGCCAUGUCAGUUUUCUGCCACCUACAGGAUAGACCAUGAAGCUGAAGGAACUUGAGCGGCCAGCUGUCCAGGCAUGGAGCCCAGCCAGCCAAUACCCUUUGUAUCUGGCCACAGGAACAUCUGCCCAACAGCUAGAUUCCUCCUUCAGCACAAAUGGCACAUUGGAAAUAUUUGAGGUUGAUUUCAGAGACCCUUCUCUGGACUUGAAACACAAAGCAGUCCUUUCUGCCUCGAGCAGGUUUCACAAGCUGAUCUGGGGGAGCUUUGGCAGUGGGCUUCUGGAAAGCUCCAGGGUUAUUGCAGGCGGCGGGGACAAUGGCAUGCUUAUUCUAUACAAUGUGACCCACAUCCUGUCUUCGGGGAAGGAGCCUGUGAUUGCCCAGAAACAGAAGCACACGGGAGCUGUCAGAGCCCUUGACUUUAAUCCUUUCCAGGGCAACCUCCUGGCUUCAGGGGCCAGCGAUUCUGAAAUCUUCAUUUGGGAUCUGAAUAACUUGAAUGUGCCAAUGACCCUGGGAUCCAAGUCACAGCAGCCCCCAGAGGACAUCAAGGCACUGUCUUGGAACCGGCAAGCCCAACACAUUCUGUCUUCUGCUCACCCCAGUGGCAAGGCAGUUGUGUGGGAUCUCAGGAAGAAUGAGCCUAUCAUCAAAGUCAGUGAUCACAGCAACAGGAUGCACUGCUCAGGCCUGGCCUGGCAUCCUGACAUUGCCACCCAGUUAGUGCUGUGCUCAGAGGAUGAUCGUCUUCCCGUGAUUCAGCUGUGGGACUUGCGCUUUGCCUCCUUGCCCCUGAAGGUGCUGGAGAACCACAGCAGGGGGAUCUUGUCAGUGUCAUGGAGCCAGGCUGAUGCUGAGCUGCUGCUCACUAGUGCUAAGGACAGCCAGAUCUUGUGCUGGAACCUGGGGAGCAGUGAGGUGGUAUAUAAGCUACCAACACAGAGCAGCUGGUGCUUUGAUGUGCAGUGGUGCCCUCGGGACCCUUCAGUGUUCUCUGCUGCCUCCUGCGACGGCUGGAUCAGUUUGUACUCUGUGAUGGGUAGGAGCUGGGAAGUCCAGCACAUGAGACAGGCUGACAAGAUCUCCUCUUCCUUCAGCAAAGGCCAGCCUCUCCCACCACUGCAGGUGCCAGAGCAAGUGGCACAAGCAUCACUGAUACCUCCCCUGAAAAAACCCCCCAAAUGGGUUAGAAGACCAACAGGUGUUUCAUUUGCUUUUGGAGGGAAGCUGGUUACUUUUGGCCUCCUCAGCACCCCUGCCCAUCUGGUGCCGCAGGCUUGCCCCCGCCUAGUCUUCAUCAGUCAAGUCACCACAGAAUCUGAAUUCCUGAUGCGAUCAACUGAGCUGCAGGAGGCCUUGGGAUCAGGAAAUCUACUGAAUUACUGUCAGAACAAGAGCCAGCAAGCUUUACUGCAAAGUGAAAAGAUGCUGUGGCAGUUCCUGAAGGUGACCUUAGAGCAAGACUCCAGAAUGAAAUUCCUAAAGCUUUUAGGAUACAGUAAAGAUGAGCUUCAGAAGAAGGUGGCCACAUGGUUGAAGAGUGACAUGGGGUUAGCUGAGAGUCCUCAGCCCAAGGGAAAUGACCUCAACAGUGACAGACAACAGGCCUUCUGCAGCCAGGCCUCCAAACACACCACAGAGGAAGCCUCUGCUUCCUCAGCCUUCUUUGAUGAGCUGGUCCCUCAGAACAUGACUCCUUUGGAGAUCCCCAUCACAAAAGAUGUUGAUGGACUCCUAAGCCAGGCUCUCCUGCUUGGGGAACUGGGUCCAGCCGUGGAGCUGUGUUUGAAGCAGGAGCGCUUUGCUGAUGCCCUUAUCCUGGCCCAGGCUGGGGGUGCAGAUCUGCUGAAGCAAACACAGGAGCGCUACUUGGCCAAGAAGAAAACCAAAAUCUCCUCGCUUCUAGCCUGUGUUGUGCAAAAGAAUUGGAAGGAUGUGGUGUGUACCUGUAGCCUGAAGAACUGGAGAGAGGCACUGGCUUUGCUACUGACAUACUCAGGCACAGAGAAAUUCCCUGAGCUCUGUGACAUGCUGGGAACUCGCAUGGAACAGGAGGGCGGCAGGGCACUAACCUCCGAAGCCAGACUCUGUUAUGUGUGCUCAGGGAGUGUGGAGCGGCUGGUGGAGUGCUGGGCAAAAUGCCAGCAGGCUUUGUCCCCCAUGGCUCUGCAGGACCUGAUGGAGAAGGUGAUGGUUCUUAACAGGAGCUUGGAGCAACUGUGGGGUCCUCAUGGGGUGAGCCCAGGCCCUGCCACAAUCUACAGGGUCACUCAGUAUGCCAACCUCCUGGCAGCCCAGGGCAGCCUGGCCACUGCCAUGAGCUUUCUACCCAGUGACUGUGCUCAGCCACCAGUUCAGCAGCUAAGAGAUCGGCUUUUUCAUGCUCAAGGUUCUGCUGUCUUGGGCCAACAGUCUCCCCCUUUCCCCUUCCCCCGGAUUGUUGUGGGAGCUACCCUCCACUCUAAAGAGACAUCCUCUUACAAAUUGGGAUCCCAGCCUUCUCACCAGGUUCCAACUCCAUCUCCAAGGCCAAGGGUUUUCACCCCUCAGUCAUCACCAGCGAUGUGCUUGGCACCUUCCCAUCCUAGCCCUUAUCAGGGCCCCAGGACGCAGAAUAUAAGUAACUACAGGGCACCUGGGCCCCAGGCCAUCCAGCCUUUGCCUUUGAGCCCUGGGGUAAGGCCUGCUUCAUCUCAGCCACAGCUAUUAGGAGGGCAAAGGGUGCAAGCUCCUAACCCGGUGGGAUUCCCUGGGACAUGGCCUCUUCCUGGUUCCCCUCUACCCAUGGCAUGCCCAGACAUCAUGCGACCUGGCUCUACCUCCCUGCCUGAGACUCCUAGACUGUUUCCUCUGCUUCCUCUGAGACCACUAGGUCCCAGCCGCAUGGUCUCCCACACCCCAGCCCCUCCUGCAAGCUUCCCGGUGCCAUACCUUCCAGGGGACCCAGGUGCCCCAUGCUCUAGUGUCCUCCCAACCACUGGCAUCUUGACUCCUCACCCAGGACCUCAAGAUUCCUGGAAAGAAGCCCCAGCCGCCAGGGGAAACCUCCAGAGGAACAAGCUGCCAGAGACAUUUAUGCCCCCAGCACCAAUUACUGCUCCAGUUAUGAGCCUCACCCCUGAGCUACGAGGGAUUCUUCCCUCACAGCCCUCUGUCUCCGGUGUGAGUCAUGCUCCCCCAGGAGUUCCAAGAGAACUUAGCCUGCAGCAGCUUCAGCACCUGCCACCUGAGAAGAUGGAAAGGAAGGAGCUGCCCCCAGAGCAUCAGUCCUUGAAGAGCAGCUUCCAGGCACUUCUCCAACGCUGCUCCCUGUCUGCAACUGACUUAAAGACAAAAAGGAAGCUGGAAGAGGCAGCCCAGCGUCUGGAGUGUCUAUAUGAGAAGCUCUGUGAGGGCACACUCUCACCUCAUGUUGUGGCUGGGCUCCAUGAGGUUGCCCGAUGUGUGGAUGCAGGAAGCUUUGAGCAGGGCCUCGCAGUGCAUGCCCAGGUGGCGGGCUGUAGCAGCUUCAGCGAGGUGUCCAGCUUCAUGCCUAUCCUGAAGGCUGUCCUCAUCAUCGCUCAUAAGCUGCUGGUCUAAACCAGGCAGCCUCUCUUGCUAGGAGGCCACUUCUGCUGUUACAUAACUCCUCCCUGCAGAAGAGGGGACUUUUGCAACAGACUCUGUUUUUCCCGACUCUUUUCCUUGCUGCCAGGAAUGCAGGUUAAUUAAAAGGAAAUGAAUGAGUGGAAGCAUCCAAUCCAGACCUACAAUAGGCGAGUGCCCUGGCCUGCCCUCCCCUCCCACCACCACCAGCACCACCAGCGCAGAAGACGACCCCGUCUCUGUCUUUGCCCUAACCUGCUGCUAAGGCCAGUUGAGGCUGCGAUUCUUUUCAAAAAGAAAAAGCUCUGCCUGUGUGUAGGCUCACAGGCCAGGGACAGGAAGGAGACAGUGUUUUGCCCACCCCAACCAAUGUCCUUCUCAAUUCUCAGGACCUCCCUCUGUUUCUGUCUUCUGGCUGAGACAGAUGGGCUCCUGAAGAGCACACAAGGGGUGGGAAGGGGCCUGUGCUCUGCACUCACCCCACAGUAACUUACUAGUUGGGGGAAGAAGCCAGUCAUCUUUCUCAGCAUCAGUUUAAAUCUGUAAAACAAAAGGUUUGACUAGCUGACCUCAAAGAUGUCUUCCCAAGCACCAGUUCUGGAGUUGUCUACUUUGUAAAGGGACCACGGCCCUGGCAAUUGAGUGUAAGAUGAUAACUUAAAAUCCAUGAUGCAGCAAUGGUGGUGGUUGUUCACCACUAUCUCUACUCUGGUGUUUGUUGAAUGAACAAAUGAACAAGUGGAUAUUGCAAAAGGAAGGGAAAAGCAAUACAGAUCCAAGGCAUCUCAGUCAUGUUUUCUUGGUAGAACUGGAAUGAAUCUGGUAUCCAUUUGGGGAUAUAAAACAAUAACCUAUGAAAUAAUGUUCUGGCAGCAUGACGUAUUUAGAGUGCUGACCUGGAGUUACCAAAUAUGAAGUACAAUAGUUCUGCUUUUAUGCUAAGAGACCUGGAGAAUGUAGCUUUACUUUACAACAUUGUACUUUUAAAUUUUCUAGCUGCCUUGCCAAACUUUCUUCGUGUACAUUAUCAAGUAAUUCCGCAAAGUGGGACAGGUAGGUUAGUAAUAUGCUGCUUCUUGAUUAAGGAGAAAAGGUGAGUUGGGAGAUUCAGGAGGCUCAGAUAAAAGCAGAGGGAAGGCGUGAAGGACCUUUUGCUGAGAGAGCUGGAAAUGAAGCUCUAGGAACACCUGAAAGGAAGUGUAUCCCCGGUCAAGAACGGGAAACUCUCUCCUCAGUAAGUGUUGGUAAGACCAGAAGGUGUGUGGUUGAGGCCAGGGGUUUGGGAUCUGACCUGGCCAUUGCCUUAGUUUGGAAUAUGGGAACCCUUGACUCUUACAGGUGAGCCCCUAGAGUCUUGACUUUUGUUACCUGGAGCCAGCCACACUGCUUUCUCCUACUCUGGGAGAGGAAGGUUGAGGUCAUCUAGCAUCUGACCAGUUCUGCUCUAGAAGAGCUGCCCAGCCCCAGACCUGGGACUGUCCUAGGGCAAGGAAGCUGGCUGGGAAGCUCCUUGGGCUACAGAGGGUCUGUCAGGGAUUGGUUCUUCCCUCCUCAAGGUCUUGCUCUGUUUCAUAAAGAAGUCUCUGCUGUACUCUCUGAGAAUAAAACCAGAAGACUCAAGUACCACAAGCAGCAAGCUCAUGGCUAUUGAGUGAAUGUAUUAGAAGAUUUAUAUAGAUGAUUUACUAAACCUUGGCAGCUUAGCCUCAAUCCAGGUAACUGCUUGGGCCACCAGGGAAGUGAGGCUCUAGGGAGGUUGCUAUCCUGCAAGAUGGGAGGGAGGGGAGAGCCUACAGGUUGUAUCUGUUACCACACCCCACCCCAAUAUCCUCAAGAAUAAGUGCAGUACCUAGAAAAAUAGCACAUAUCACAAUGACUGCAAUAAAUUAAGGUUCAAGGUGCUGAACUUCCUAUUAAGUAACAGUUUCAUUGCAGGAGGUUUACUCAUCGAAGGAAGAUAUCCAGUGCUCUGAAUCCUGCCUGUUUGAGAACCAGCGCCCCCCCGCGGCCGCUCUGCGCGGCUACAGAAGUACUUGGUGACCCUCCGGCGGCACUGCUCGCAGCGGACUGCGCAGCACCAGUGGAACUUGCAGUUGCAGCUGGACACGGUCUCGGCCCGGCGCUCCUCCACCGCCAGCCCGCAGUCCCCGCAGAGCCGGCGGCAGCUGCGGCGUUCCCAGCGACCUAGGGCCCGCCCGCGCCUCAGGCACUCUCGGCCUUCGGUGCCCAGCAGCCCUAGCGUUUUGUUCUCCAGGCAGUAGUCCGGGGAGUCCUCCAGGUGCACCAGCUCCCGGGUAGAGAUGGAGCGAAAGGUGUCGGCGAUGGCGCCGCGGCCGGCCGCGCUGUUGCCAGCACCCUGCAGCAGGUCCACCUUGAGUGCUGCGUGGUACUUCUCCUUCAGGUGCGCGCCCACCUCGCGGAACUCGGGCAGCUGCAGCCAACAGGUCUGCGUGGUGCAGCUGCCAGACACGCCGUGGCACUUGCACGUGCGUUUCAUGGUGCCCUUCACCGCCUGGGGAGAGAGCUCGGAGUGAGAGGCCCGGGAUUAAGCGCGUGGCGAGUUUAACUGCCCCUGCGGGAGUUGCGAGAACUCUAGUUAGUCUACUGAGCCAGCCCACUUGGUACCUCAUUUUGCCAAUCUUUUAAAUGAACUGAAGAGUUGUCCGCACCUGGAGCUGUUAGUGGAUGUAGCCAGCAGCUGCCUAUUUCCAAGGGCUGCGGGACUCACCUUGCGGCCAGCCUCGUUGUUGUGCAGGUUCAUGGCUGCCCGUGCAUCCUGUCCUGUUUCCAGGGCAUCGACAAACUGCUUGGAAAUCGCCUCUCCGAAGCCCACAUUGUCACUGCAGCCUCCCCACAGCCAGCCUUGGCCCCCUGGGAAAGUGCAGAGGGAGGACAGGUCAUUGAGCAAGCGGGCGCAGAGCCUCCUGGGCUGCUGUUUCUAAUUGAGUUGGGGGUGGGGAGGUCCAGGAUAGGAGAGGAUUAAGGUUGGGCGAGUGCCCUGUAUCCAGAUCAGUUGCCGUCUAGAUUUGGUUUUGCCACUUUUACACGCCCACUUCCAGGUUCAGCCAAUCCCCUGCUCAGGACUCAAUGACGUAAGUAGUUGCCGGGUGGAUUCUUUGCAAGGUGCCAGUACACUCCUCUGCCAACAGUGCCUCUUCGCAUGGGCAGAGGGUGCACGUGCCCUGCUGGUGAUUGAGGUCCAGAAGGGACAAAAUAGUGCCAAAAAGAUGUGGAAAGAAGGAAGCAUUGAGGGGGAAAGGGGUACAAUUGAAAUAUGGAACAACGGUGUUGGAAAUUGGUCAGCAGGGCACAGGAGAUUGGGAGACGGCACUGGAGGUAAGGAGUGGAAAGUAGACGGGGAUAGGCAACACGGAAGGAAGUUCCCCUUGUGUUUGAGAGAAGCAACAGAGGAAUCCCCAGAGUGUUGUUUCUUUAUUAUUAUGUUUAAAUUAAGGAAACUACUAAACGGGAAAAGAAGGUUCUAAGCUACAUUUAGCCUGGCUUGUCAUUGUAGGGCUUGGGAUCAAACUCGUUCACCCAUCUUCCGCAUGAUUUUCUUCAUAUUUAGAAGAAUACAGCUCUUCUUCACCCCCACCAGGCUUUUCAUUCUUUAUGUGCGUUGAGCUGGCCUAUGUACCCAUCCCUACAUUACUACUCACCCAGUUGCCCAUUGCGGGAGUCAUCACAGCCACAGUUAUCAAAAUCUCCAAGGCUGCAGUUUCUAGUCAGGGUGUACAUGACUCCAGCAGAACUGAUGGCAUGCACAAAUGCUGUCUCCCGAUUGGCUAGCAGGAACCAAAAAUCCAGAGUUAGAGGGAGGGGUUUCAGCUUAAAGAAAUACCAGACAUGCUACCUUUCUUUAAUAACCAUCAUUAUAUCCUCUUUCCCUAGCUCCAUCCUAUUUCCCCAUCUUUAUUAUUAUUUUUUAACUUUUAUUUUUUUUGCAGAGAGAGGGUCUCACUAUGUUGCCCAGGCUUGUCUCAAACUCUGGGCUCAGUCUUCCUACCUUGUCCUCCCGAAGAGCUUGGGAUUACAGGCUUAAGCCACUGUGCCUGGCCUUCCCAUCUUUAUAAUGUAUCUUACCCUCUUCCAUGGUCUGCCCCAUCCCUGACCUUAGCCCUGCUCUUCUCACCUCCUGUCUUUUCAGGUCACACAUUUUAUGACCAGGUGGCUAGGGUACUGUUGACACACAUGAUUGUAAAUGAUUUAGAUUGGAAAGAGCCUAAGGAAGAAAUGAGGAGGGAGAUGAAUCUGAAGGCAAGGUUGUAAAGAACCCAUCCCCACUUCCUCCUGGAACACUAGGGUGUAAGAGUCAUGUGCAGUUAGUCUUGAAAAGAGCCUCUGAUUGGCAGCUCUUUCAUUUACUGGCAUGGCCACUCUUUAUCUUCUCCAUGGGAAUCUGGUCUCCAAGUCACUCUCCACUUGCCCAGUACCUCUCUGCUAAGGAAGGGGCUAAGAGGUCUGAGGAAUUACGACCCCUGCCUACCUCCUGAUGUUACCUACAUUGUGAGGAGACCUUUAGCCAACUGGGAGGUCAAGGAUGGUAUGGGAUUGGGAGUAAGGUGAGAUCCAUUUGUUGAACAAUGAGAGUGUUGAGAAAGAAAGAAAAAA